UACGGAGGGUGCGAACGUUAAUCGGAAUCACUGGGCGUAAAGCGCGCGUAGGCGGUUCGUUAAGUGGGAUGUGAAAUCCCCGGGCUUAACCUGGGAAUUGCAUUUCAAACUGGCCGACUAGAGUACGGUAGAGGGAGGUAGAAUUUCCUGUGUAGCGGUGAAAUGCGUAGAUAUAGGAAGGAAUACCAGUGACGAAGGCGGCCUCCUGGAUCGAUACUGACGCUGAGGCGCGAAAGCGUGGGGAGCAAACAGG
rnacentral:rRNA from 1 species